GUAUCAUUCCAGAUUUCCCUCUGCUUCCACUUAGACUGAAAGCAUAUCCGUGGUGUGAGGAUCAGUAUUUCAUACUCUCAUAUUCAUAAACUGUUGAUCCUGAAGAGAGUUAUUCCGAAGAAGUCCGCAAUCGAUACGGUACAAGUUCUCUCAGAGGUUUGAUCAGCGGCGACUGCCAGGUUGUCUCAGUCCGGAGGCAAUCGGAGGUAAACGUUCUCUUCAUCGGCCCUGUUUGUGUGCAGGUUCAGAGAAGCUAUCAUUAACCCCUGAUUUCCUCCGGGUGACUAGAUCCUUGAGGUCUUUGGUAUUCCUGAACAUAGUCUUCCUAUGUUGGCGGGCGGGACGAGGCCGAUCCCCUGAUUCCGGAGGGUACAUUCAGCGAAAGCACUUAAAGAGAGUAAGGAGACCUUUGGGACGAAUCGAGACAUCAGCAGCGUUUUCAACGCUUUCGGUCGCCUCAGCUUUCGGAGAAGCCUGGUGCUGCCUCGCCGUUGCCCGAUAGUGGUUGCUUGUGGAGAAAAAACAGAAAUGUGGAAUUCUAGCGGCUUACGUGAACGUGUGUUGGUGUUGGUGUUGAUACCAGGUGCUGGAUUGGGAAGUUUAACCGUACAGCAAGUCAUUCGAACCUGAAAAUAGUUUCGCCGACUGAUUUUGUGCACGUAUGGAUUUUACUUGGGAAGAAUAUCGGUGUCAGUCGCUUCGUUCGCGUGGUGACGAGAAGAGGAUUGUUUUUUAUCUGACAUUGUUCAAUCGUUGGAAAGGCUUGCGUUAGGACUUUUGUGCUAGUAAAACCAGGUUGGAGAUCGAGAGAGAAAGCAGAGGAUCCGACGCUUGCAGUUGUUGCUUGGCAAUACAAGUAUCGUUCUUGACUGUCGACGAACCUCGGGAUUAUUUGGCAGUGUUUAGUCUGUGGAGAGCUACACGCUGUGAUAGCUUUUGUAGAUUUCAUCUACGGAUUUCUGGUCACGGAAGACAUUGCAUCAGUAACAUAAGCUGUCUUAACGAUUAUCUUCCGAGUAUAGUUGAGCUACCGCUGGAGCGUUCAUCUAGCUACGGUUUUCUGGUUGGACGGUUCAGUUAGAACUGAUGGUGAGGUAAUAUAGCAUUGGGAUCAGUAUUCAUAGGGGGCCUAUAUAUUUCUAAGAGACUGGCAGGUGAGACUGGAUCACUGGUUACAGCAAUACGUGUGUACGGCACCUUUUGCUGAGAGGAUUGUUUCAUUACAGCUUCUGGCUUGAAGGUGGUUGCUUUCUCGCGCCAGAAAGCGCUAAUUGGUAGAAAAACAUAUUCUAUCAUUUAACGCGCCGCUAGGGAGUUACCUUGGCACUACUGACUUGAUUCUUUGCCACGAACAUUUGCAUCAUAUAGUGUAACCUGGUGGCUAGCAGUACUUUUCAAAGACCUUGCCUUUACGAUACCCAAUGAUACAUAAGCGAGUUGCUUUCUCUAAGAUGAGAGUUGGAAGUCUUUGAAUUUCUUUUUGUAUUGAACGGUUGACGAACGUAAUUGGAAUACAAUACUCUUUCCCUCUAUUUUCAUAGAAAUCGAACGCUGACGGAAUUCGAUCAUUGCCGAGUAUUAAGAAGUGGAACACGUUCAAUUAUUCUUUGGAAUGUUUUGGGGAUACUAAUUAAGUCUCAGCUUGACCGAUGAUAGAAAGAAUCACCAUGACCUACGAACUCCCAAACACGAGAUUCCGCUGCAACCUCAGCGUGGAUUUCUUCCGAUCUUUCGAACUGGGACCACCGGAUAUAAAAGGUCCAGAAGCGGUUCCAGUACAAACUCUGGAUUAUCUUCAUAUAGCCGUUAUCAUGGGCGGAUUAGGUCUUCUACAGCUACUAGGAGUGAUACUCAACAUUCUCGUUUUUAUAGUCUUCUGUAAGGAUAAGAAGAACCGUGGGUCUGUAUCUCUGUUGCUACAGGUGGUCGCCAUCUUUGAUAUUAUUUACCUCAUUAGCAACGCAGCGGGGACUACAGUCCCCGUUUUAUGGCAGUUUCUGAUUACGAGGAACGCACGAAGCUGUGACAUCACACCCUAUAUGAAGAUGCGAUUGACCGACUAUGGAUUCUUUCAGGUCGGAUUAAACGGAACACGUGACGUAGUGCGUUGGCUAAUGAUAGUUCUAUCAGAGUAUGCCCUAGUACCAUAUUGUUGCGCGUCACAAGCAGUGAAAAAAAUGUACAACCGAAUUUUCGCAAUCAUAGAAGUUUUCCUUGUGCUCGGUUUUGUUGCCGCCAUUAACACUUUCGAUUUCAUCUGCGGAGAGGUGUGGUCAAGCGAACGGAACAGUUGUCAACACAACCUCCUCGGAGUACACUUCUUGGUGACGAGGUUCAAUGUGUUUAUCCCGUAUGUUCUCGUGUUGUUUAUGUACUGUACGUUAGCGCUGUUGAUGUAUGUCAAACGCGGUACAGCGACGGACCCGAGGCCUUGGCCAUUCAUGCUGCAAGUGCGCAGGGCCUUUGCAGCGCUGACAUUAUUCAUCAUCUGCGAAGCAGCCUCAACAAUCCAUUGGUUCUUUUAUUGGGAAAUAGUUUACAUGGACCCAAAAUUCUACCAAUGGGCUCACUUUAUUUCCGGAUAUACCAUGUACUUCUUGUCGCAUUUCUACUGCGCAAUGAAAUUCUUUUUGUACUUGUGUGUCGGUGAUGACUUCCGGCGGAUUCUGGGUAAUAUGUGUUGUGGUUCCAGAUCCGGGGGCGACCUCAAUGAGAAUGACAUGCACCCUGUUUUGGAUUAUGACAACACGCCGAAACAUUUACGCCCUGACUGGGACCAGGAGUCGGAAGAAGAGGAAUCGGGCGGCGAAGAGCACGCCAUGAACGAACAGCACAUGCACACAACUCGUUCCGCAGAUAGCCAAAAGGUGGAGUUGUUACAUGACGAUCGGGAGGGCAACCAUCGCGGUUUCGACCAUGGCAACCAGAUUACGAAAGUGUAGAAUGUGGUUCCCUAGCAACCACAUCCUGUGAUGACAGUGGUUACUAUAGCAACCUCAGCGGUAUAGUAACCAUGCUGUUACUAUAAUGUGUGGUACCAGUGAUGAUGUCGGGAAUUCGAUAAUGAAUUCAGGUAAUGGCGAUUAGAAAGGAGAAUGUGAAUAGUUGUAGGAGCAAAUAUGGUGACCAGCGAAACUAAUGUCACUAUACCAAAGUGCUAUUUGUCGUAUCCACAGCAACACACACAAAAAUUAGACUCGAACUUUAUACGUUGAUAUAGGAACAAAAUACUGUACAAAUUAUUUUUAUCCAAGGUCUUCUUGUUAAACGCUUUGUGUAACCAUGGUAACGUGCUAAGUGUCUUGUUGUGAUUAAUAUGUCUGAUUUUUAUGUCUUCGCCGCCACAGUUAGUAUCUUAUGUCAUUUUGAAACACGUGUUUGAUGUUCGAAAUUUCUUUUUCUUCUAUUGCUUAUGAGUGUACUUAAGAGGACACUCAUAAAACCAAUAAUAUGGAUGCUUUUGCCACUAGAGUGCUAGUCAAAUACUUGUAGAUUCAUUAAUUGCAUAUAUGUUGAUUUGCGUGCGGAAGGUGCUUCUUUAGCAGGCUAUUGCAACCAGACCCAGGGCGUCUUCCAGGUGGUGACUGUCGGUUGUACGUCACGAACCUCGGCAAGAAAACCUCGUAGUCUGGUGUCCGUGAUGACAGCUACUGUUGGCCAUAGGUACUUCCUUCUUUGCUAGAACUUGAAAUCCUGAAGCUAUGAGAGCUCUUCCGAAUCGAAGGAAAUGUCAAUUUCAAGGUUUGUUCGCUGUUUUACAGAGAACAGCCUCUUAAAUUCUAACUUUAUGAAGGAGUUCUAAUGGUUUUACGAUUUAGCCAAGUUGUAUAUGUUAUAGCCAAAUCGGUGAUGCCUAUGGUCAACCCUUAUCUAAAUUCUAGCACACUUUGGGUGCAAUUCAGUGUUGUUUUCAAUGUAAUGUAUCCUGUAUUGCGCCACCUUUGGGCGGCAGCGGCUUUGGUAUCCGCUUGAGUGGUACACAGUACUUCCAACAAGGUCUGUCACUAAUGGUCUUCAUCAUCCCAUCAGUGUAUUAGUCUAAUAAAUAAUACACUGCUGAUACUAUACAUCAUUAAACUGCACACAUCGGCAACCAUCGCUAGAAAUGAAAAAAUGCUCCUCUGACCGUUGCCGUUUACCAGUGGUGCAAAUGACAAAAAUCAUGUAGUAGUACUGUUACCAUGGCAACUUCCAUUGAAGGCAGCUCCGCCGUGAAUGGUGCCAUUUGAUAUGAUUUGUCCAUUGUGAAGACGAGAGGUGAGUCUAUUUGUCUCCCCUGACUGGAGAUCGAUUUUGAUUACAGGUAAUCAUCCGCUUUGUUCUUUGAGUGUUCGACUGGGAGGAGCGGGAGCAUUGAAUGCGAGACAAGUUCUACAUCCUUCACUUUUUCCCGAUCCUCAGGUUGGGAUGCUUGUAUUUACUCGAAGAAAUCGAUGUCGAUGGUGAGAACCUGAGCCGUGAUGCCUGUACGGUAUCCGGCAUGGCACCAGUUAGAGCUAGUGGCUGUUGCUGAUGAAGUCGAGACAGCUCCCAGUUUCGUCUUCCCCGAAACCGCUCCUGGGUCAAAUGAAAUAUAAACACGCGCCGAGACGAGACAUUAUGAAUAUUAUUGACCCAUCUCAAUAUAGAGUUGAUAAUACCAUGCAGCUUGGAGAAGACACGCUCAUCGAUUUUGAUUAACAUAUAAGCAUUUUGCAAAUUGAAAUUGAUUUGAAAGUUGCGUGUUCUGAAUUCAUGGCAGUUUAUCUCCAUAUAUCGGUGGGGGGUUCGAUGAAGAUCCGAAUUUCUUCUUCUUCAUCUUCUACGUUCGCUUUUUGCGGUGAUUCUUCUGAGAGUCGAACGCACGCUUUCCUCAUUAUAAGCCCGGUUCUCUCGCCACUAUGCCACUGAUCUGAGACGCGAACGAAAUCAUAAAACAGCUUGAAAAGGAGCGUUCAUUAUAUAUCGCGGCAUGAUUUCUGAGGAGACGAUCAUAUCAUAUUUAAUGGAAAAACCGCCAGGGAGUCAGUCAGUACAGGGAAGAAGCCUGACAUACUAGCAUUACAUCUACUCGCCAUAAGUCGAUACAACGUGAAGUAAAACAGACAGGGGAGGUUGAGAUAUUGGAUCCGCGCACUUUUGACAUAAAUAUUCGUCUACAUCUACGUCAUUGUCUUCUGGUUGGUAAAACAAAAAAGCAUUUGACCUAGUUUUGGUCGCAGCGGUUACGAUGACGCGAGAUCUCGCGCGGGUAUAAAAUUUGGAAGCAGUCAAAGGGAAGUUUUCAUCACAUUUCAAUGUUUUAUUUGCGCUGCUCUCUUAGAACAGAAAUUGAAACCUUACUGUCGACAUCUAUCCGGUUACGUCGACUAUUCAAAAGAUGUUGCUGAGUACAUCAGAUCUAUAUACUACUAUCUUCAUCUAUUAUUUAAAAGACAACUGCGGACUUUGUUACCAGCAUCGCAGCGCCAUCUGUAUGAUUGUGCUUGUAUUAUUUUGUCCACGUGGCGCCACCAAUGUUUGUAAAACGAACUGAAAAACCUUACGUCUGCACGUGCCAAGGUGUUUCCUUUCUGAUGGAAAUUUAAAGGUAUUAUGUAAGCCUAUGAUUUAUACUCCGUUGCGUGUGUCCAUUUCGUCGGCCAUUCCGGAAAUUUGGACAGUGUCUGCUCGUUGACGUCAACUGUACACUGAUCAGUACCAGAAGCGCCAUCUAUUGGGUAUUAAUACCAUUUAGCCAGUUGUCCGAUUAUUUCUCACGUGUCGAUCAAUUAUAUUUUGAAAUCUAUUAGAAUAAAGAGAAGUUACAAAAAAUA